AUCCAGCUGACGAGUCCCAAGAGGGACGAGAUGCGCGUCCUCGAU
rfam:Schistosoma mansoni strain Puerto Rico chromosome W, complete genome